rnacentral:rRNA from 1 species
AGAAUCAACGCUGGCGGCGUGCCUAACACAUGCAAGUCGCACGAGAAAGUGGAGCAAUCCACGAGUAAAGUGGCGCACGGGUGAGUAACACGUGAAUAAUCUACCUCCGAGUGGGGAAUAACUGAGAGAAAUCUUAGCUAAUACCGCAUAAUACCCACGGGUCAAAGCAGCAAUGCGCUUGGAGAGGAGUUCGCGGCCGAUUAGCUAGUUGGCGGGGUAAUGGCCCACCAAGGCGAUGAUCGGUAUCCGGCCUGAGAGGGCGCACGGACACACUGGAACUGAAACACGGUCCAGACUCCUACGGGAGGCAGCAGUGGGGAAUUUUGCGCAAUGGGGGAAACCCUGACGCAGCAACGCCGCGUGGAGGAUGAAAUCCCUUGGGAUGUAAACUCCUUUCGAUAGGGAAGAUAAUGACGGUACCUAUAGAAGAACGCCCGGCUAACUUCGUGCCAGCAGCCGC